rnacentral:telomerase_RNA from 1 species
GCAGAAUGUGGCUCGUUCGCGUUCUUCAUGUGAAAGGUGCUGUAUUCAAUCAGCAAUCUAACCCUAACCCAGGUUUCAGUUUGGUUCAUGCUCAGCCUCUAAGCAUUGACUAAGCCUAAGCCUCGUUGCACUUAGCUGUCGAGUGUGUUUUUGGGGUUUCUUUCACACACGACACGAGGUACCUAACAAGAAACCUUUGAAGAAUGGCGGGCGAGUGCGGGAUCCAACACUGGGAAUAAUAACCGCUUUUGAGGCUGGAAAUGACGCGGAGAUUGAGGGGAAUACAGCCGUGAGUAAUUUCACUCUCUGUGUUCAAGGGUUUGCUCUGUCUCCCUUUUCUUUGCUCUUUCUUGGGUGGUUUGAAGGCGGUUGUUAACAUGCUGUCAUAUCCAAAACCAGUGAACAGUAAACUACCGAAUUGUCGUGCAAGCCUGCUUUCAAACACAUGUGAAAGUAAUUGGAACAUGUCAAUUCGCACAUUC